AUCGUGUCGCUCCCACCAUUCCUUCCUUCGGGAUGCUUGGCUGGGGGCGGAUAUUGGUCUCCCGUUCCUCACCGAGCGGUUGGCCAAAAUAAGAGUCCCUUUUGACGGACGCACGACUAGUGGUGGUUGACAAAACCCGGAAUKGUGUUGUGGGUCUUGUCAAAAGGGUGCAUCAUAAUAGACCCAACGCGUUGUCAUGUAACGACGCUUCGACC
rnacentral:misc_RNA from 1 species